UUGAACGCUGGCGGCAUGCUUUACGCAUGCAAGUCGAACGGCAGCGCGGGGGCAACCCUGGCGGCGAGUGGCGAACGGGUGAGUAACAUAUCGGAACAUAUCCGGAAGUGGGGGAUAACGUACCGAAAGGUACGCUAAUACCGCAUAUGCCCCGAGGGGGAAAGGGGGGGAUCGCAAGACCUCUCGCUCUCGGAGUGGCCGAUAUCGGAUUAGCUAGAUGGUGGGAUAAAGGCUCACCAUGGCGACGAUCCGUAGCUGGUCUGAGAGGACGACCAGCCACACUGGGACUGAGACACGGCCCAGACUCCUACGGGAGGCAGCAGUGGGGAAUUUUGGACAAUGGGGGCAACCCUGAUCCAGCCAUGCCGCGUGAGUGAAGAAGGCCUUCGGGUUGUAAAGCUCUUUCAGACGGAAAGAAACGGUCGCGGCGAAUACCCGCGACUAAUGACGGUACCGUAAGAAGAAGCACCGGCUAACUACGU
rnacentral:rRNA from 1 species